AGAGACGAAGGUCCCCAGGUUUUUCAGUUCAUGUGGGCUUCCUGAGAGGAGGAGAGGAGUCUUAAAAGUGAGUGGCAGAGCCUGCUGCCGUGGCUGUUUGCCCAGAUGAUUCACUCACACUGAGUCCAGCUGCUCGCUGUACUCUCACAGAUAUCUUGGUGUCCUGCGCGCUAACGUCAUGUCAUGGAUGAAACCAGUGACUUUGCUGAAUAACCUUGAACACACCCACAUGCUGUUGGCUUCUAAGGCCGGGAAGAGGACAGGCAGAGAGAUGAUGUAUGGGC